AGUGGCCUAUGAUGUAUGAAUUGCCUACAUUGUCAGAUUUUCUAAUGAGUGACUGAUGUAGUCCUGAGGCCUUU